rnacentral:misc_RNA from 1 species
AACUUUUGGCAAUGGAUCUCUUGGCUCUGGCAUCGAUGAAGAACGCAGCGAAAUGCGAUACGUAAGGUGAAUUGCAGAAUUCAGUGAAUCAUCGAAUCUUUGAACGGACCUUGCGCCCGUUGGCAUUCCGAGGGGCACACCCGUUUGAGUGUCGUGAACUUCUCAAAACCUUUUCCUUUGCUGAAAAGGAUUUUGGUCUUGGAUGCCUUUUGCUGGUUUCACCUCGAAGCGAGCUCCUCCCAAAUGGAUUAGUGGGGUCUGCUUUGCCGAUCCUUGACGUGAUAAGAUGCUUCUACGUCUCGGGUUUUGGCACUGUGCCUCUGCUUCUAACCGUCUCAUUGACAACGAUGGUGUUCCGGUCACCGCCGAUUCGUCGGUGGGAGGCUUGACCCACAAAACGACCUUGACCUCAAAUCGGGUGAGACUACCCGCUGAACUUAAGCAUAUCAAUAAGCGGAGGCU